rnacentral:rRNA from 1 species
UACGGAGGGUGCAAGCAUUAAUCGGAUUUAUUGGGCGUAAAGGGCGCGUAGGCGGCAAGCUAAGUCAGAUGUGAAAUUCCGUGAGCUUAACUCCGGAGCUGCAUUUGAAACUGGUUUGCUUGAGGGUUGACGGAGAAAAUGGAAUUCCAUGUGUAGCGGUGAAAUGCGUAGAUAUAUGGAAGAACACCAGUGGCGAAAGCGGUUUUCUAGUUAAUACCUGACGCUGAGGCGCGAGAGCAAGGGGAGCAAACAGG